AUUGAACGCUGGCGGCAGGCCUAACACAUGCAAGUAGAACGAGUGGCGGACGGGUGAGUAAUGUCUGGGAAACUGCCCGAUGGAGGGGGAUAACUACUGGAAACGGUAGCUAAUACCGCAUACAUCGGCUGUGACCAGAUGGGAUUAGCUAGUAGGUGGGGUAAUGGCUCACCUAGGCUACAAUCCCUAGCUGGUCUGAGAGGAUGACCAGCCACACUGAAACUGAGGCACGGUCCAGACUAAUAGGGGAGUCAGCAGUGGUGAAUAUUACACAAUGGGGGCAAGCCUGAUGCAGCCGUGCCGCGUGUAUGAAGAAGGCCUUCGGGUUGUAAAGUACUUUCAGCGAGGAGGCGUUACUCGCAGGAGAAGCGCCGGCUAACUCCGUGCCAGCAGCCGCGGUAAUAC
rnacentral:rRNA from 1 species